GAUGAAGAACGCAGCGAAAUGCGAUAAGUAAUGUGAAUUGCAGAGUUCAGUGAAUCAUCGAAUCUUUGAACGCACAUUGCGCCCGCCAGUAUUCUGGCGGGCAUGCCUGUUCGAGCGUCAUUUCAACCCUCAAGACCCCUUCGGGGACUUGGUGUUGGGGACCGGCACAGGGGCCUGCCUGCUUGUCUUGCAGCGCCCUCGCCGCCCCCGAAAUGAAUUGGCGGCCUCGUCGCGGCCUCCCCUGCGUAGUAGCACAAACCUCGCAACGGGAACGUGACGGCGGCCACUGCCGUAAAACAACCCAAUUUUAUUAGAGUUGACCUCGAAUCAGGUAGGAAUACCCGCUGAACUUAAGCAUAUCAAUAAGCGGAGGA
rnacentral:misc_RNA from 1 species